UGUUUUCACUUUGCUGUGGAGUGGUUGAAACUUCAUUUAAGAGACUGUGACUCAAAGAAUGAAAAAAACACAAAAGCAUACAGUUUUAAAGGGACAGCAGGUAUGACACAUCUUCCUGUGCAUCAGGAAAGCAUCGAGAAGCCUGCAGUCAAACGCAACGUGGACGGGAAUGAAGCUUCGAAAGCAGGAGCUCCGGUCAGGCUUCUUCGGGAGCAGUUUCCUGGAGCAAGUGAGCAGGUGAGCCUGCUUAUUAAAUACUGAGCCUCCGAGGCCUCGCCUCUGAGCCAGCGUCAUUGAGCCUGCACUUUAAGAGCGUCCCAGGGAGCCUCAGGCACCCAGACUUGAAGACAGCAUGUCUUUGAGGGGUUCUCCAGGAUGAGCGGCUUGGUGGCUACAUGAGUGGACAGACGCGACACUCCAUCAAGUUCCUUCUUUGCUGCAGUGAACUAGAACCAUGUGUUCAAGAUGGUCAAGAUUCAAGAUAUGAGCAGCCUUGGACUCCAGAAUAUGUAUCUGGGAAGCAUGGAAUUCUGCAGGAAGACAUACUUGAGAAGGGGAUGGAAGUAGAGAACAGCUUCAAGAGGGUGGUGAAUCUUUGCCGUGUCUUGAAAGAGAAAGGUGUGUUGGUUUCACUGCACUGGCAAGGAAAGAGAGGGUGUUCCAGGCAGAGGGAAUAUCUUCUUAGCACGAACCAGCUUGGUGUAUUUGGGAACUGCAGCUAGUGUCGUGCCUCGGUUAUUACGGGCCUAUCCAGAGAGACAGAGGACUUGCAGCAAUUGGCAGAGAUGCUGAGAUACCACUAAGUGCAGAGAAGGUUACAGAAGUAGCUGAAUUACUUCCUCUCCUGUUGUCUGAUCUCCCACCACUGCCUCCCAUUAGCAGACUUAACUUGAAGCCAACUUUCAGGAGAGCCAAGGAACUAGAAUUUCAACAGCCAGCUUUCUGCCACAAAGACCAGUACAGAACAGAACAACAGAACAGGGGAAAGGUAGGGAAGAACACACAAGUGUUAAAUA
rnacentral:lncRNA from 1 species